rnacentral:tRNA from 1 species
GGUGGCUCAGUGGUAGAGCUCUUACCUUACAUGCAUGAGGCCCUGGGUUAGAUUCCCAGCACCA